rnacentral:rRNA from 1 species
GGAUCGCGGCGACGCCGGCGGUUCGCUGCCGUUGUUGUUGUGAGAAGUUCAUUAAACCUUAUCAUUUAGAGGAAGGAGAAGUCGUAACAAGGUUUCCGUAGGUGAACCUGCGGAAGGAUCAUUG